CUCGACAAAACCUUCAUCAUUUUCAAAGAACGCCGCGUUAAGAAGCCGUCCAACGGCAAGUCUACAAACUUGUCCAAAUUGUCCAGGACCUAUUCGUCCGUCCCUGCAACAAGUGUACCCCCUCCCCCCCCCCAGCAGGCGUCAGAGGAUCGUUUGCACUCAGACUUCCCAAGGCAAAGUUCGAGGGUGCCAUGUUUUCACGGGAAGACGGUGGAAGACGACAUGGACGGUCGUUUAACGAGGAAAUCGAUGGCUGUGGAGCACAUGGGAACAAGUAGAGCUUCUCCAGGCCCUGAAAAUAAUAAUGACGAUAAUGACUGACACCUGCCUGGACGAGUGGCGACACCUGCUGGAGGGGACGGACCACCCAUUUCUGCGUGUACCUACAGUAUACACAUGGACAAAGAGGAGGAGCAGGGUGGAGGCCAGAAAGGAAAGUAGGAGGUUCCAGAAGAGUGAGGCUGAAAUGCCAGCGUGUGACAGAAGAUGGCGUCCCAGUGGGAGCCAGUGGGAGCCAGUGGGAGCCAGUGGGAGCCAGUGGGAGCCAGUGGAAGACGUUUGCUCCCAGCUUGUUCACCACGUGUCCAAGAGCAGCAGGCCAGGGAGACAGCUGCAGCAGCAUGAAGUUGACUUGUAGCCUGCAGGACAACUGCUGUGCCUCCAACAUGCGGACAUGCGGCCCCGGUGGUCCGUGCGAGGCAGGGACAAUAAAUGCUGACGGAAGGAGGAAGUGGAGAGAAUGAAAGAUAACCUUGGCUCGCGUCUCACUGCAAGAGUGGAAGACAAAUACUUUCCCUGCCGUCUACAUGAUUGACAUAAGCAUGUUCCUAUGGAUCCAUAACGCUAAGAAGGUUCUUGGAGGUCACAUGGAUGGUGAAGUAAUAUCAUAUCAUCUCAUGGUAUCCACCAUCAUCCACAUUACUAAUCUUCAUGGUAUCCACCAUCAUCCACAUUACUAAUCUUCAUGGUAUCCACCAUCAUCCACAUUACUAAUCUUCAUGAUAUCCACCAUCAUCCACAAUAAUCUUCCUGAUAUCCACCAUCAUCCACAUUACUAAUCUUCAUGGUAUCCACCAUCAUCCACAAUAAUCUUCAUGGUAUCCACCAUCAUCCACAAUAAUCUUCAUGGUAUCCACCAUCAUCCACAAUAAUCUUCAUGGUAUCCACCAUCAUCCACAAUAAUCUUCCUGAUAUCCACCAUCAUCCACAUUCAGUAUCGGACUCCCUAGGACUCUCCUCGCUACUUCAAAACACACAGAGUACACCUGAAGCUACACAACUUGACUGAAAGACUUUGGACACAUGCUAGCUCCAUGUCCAACAUCUUACUAAGGCUCCGAUAUCACCAUGGCAACACACGUGAUAUCACUGACAGC